rnacentral:rRNA from 1 species
GACAGAGGGUGCAAGUGUUGUUCGGAAUUACUGGGCGUAAAGGGCGCGUAGGCGGUCCGCUAAGUUCGGCGUGAAAUCCCCUGGCUCAACUGGGGGAACGGCGCUGGAUACGGCAGAGCUAGAGGAUGGAAGAGGCUCGCGGAAUUCCCAGUGUAGAGGUGAAAUUCGUAGAUAUUGGGAAGAACACCGGGUGGCGAAGGCGGCUCACUGGCUCAUUACUGACGCUCAGGCGCGAUAGCGUGGGGAGCGAACCGG